GGAGGAAUGGCUGAGUGGUCGAAAGCGGCGGUCUUGAAAACCGUUGACUCGCAAGGGUCCGUGGGUUCGAAUCCUACUUCCUCCGCCA
rnacentral:tRNA from 2 species